GAUGAACGCUGGCGGCGUGCCUAAUACAUGCAAGUCGAGCGAACAGACGAGGAGCUUGCUCCUCUGACGUUAGCGGCGGACGGGUGAGUAACACGUGGAUAACCUACCUAUAAGACUGGGAUAACUUCGGGAAACCGGAUCUAAUACCGGAUAAUAUAUUGAACCGCAUGGUUCAAUAGUGAAAGACGGUUUUGCUGUCACUUAUAGAUGGAUCCGCGCCGCAUUAGCUAGUUGGUAAGGUAACGGCUUACCAAGGCGACGAUGCGUAGCCGACCUGAGAGGGUGAUCGGCCACACUGGAACUGAGACACGGUCCAGACUCCUACGGGAGGCAGCAGUAGGGAAUCUUCCGCAAAGGGCGAAAGCCUGACGGAGCAACGCCGCGUGAGUGAUGAAGGUCUUCGGAUCGUAAAACUCUGUUAUUAGGGAAGAACAAAUGUGUAAGUAACUAUGCACGUCUUGACGGUACCUAAUCAGAAAGCCACGGCUAACUACGUG
rnacentral:rRNA from 1 species